rnacentral:rRNA from 1 species
CUACGGGUGGCUGCAGUGGGGAAUAUUGGACAAUGGGUGAAAGCCUGAUCCAGCCAUGCCGCGUGUGUGAAGAAGGUCUUCGGAUUGUAAAGCACUUUAAGUUGGGAGGAAGGGCAUUAACCUAAUACGUUAGUGUUUUGACGUUACCGACAGAAUAAGCACCGGCUAACUCUGUGCCAGCAGCCGCGGUAAUACAGAGGGUGCAAGCGUUAAUCGGAAUUACUGGGCGUAAAGCGCGCGUAGGUGGUUUGUUAAGUUGGAUGUGAAAGCCCCGGGCUCAACCUGGGAACUGCAUCCAAAACUGGCAAGCUAGAGUACGGUAGAGGGUGGUGGAAUUUCCUGUGUAGCGGUGAAAUGCGUAGAUAUAGGAAGGAACACCAGUGGCGAAGGCGACCACCUGGACUGAUACUGACACUGA